rnacentral:rRNA from 1 species
CCAGCACCCGAGUGGUCGGGACGAUUAUUGGGCCUAAAGCAUCCGUAGCCGGUUUUACAAGUCCUCCGUUAAAUCCAACUGCUUAACAGAUGGGCCGCGGAGGAUACUAUAAGACUAGGAGGCAGGAGAGGCAAGCGGUACUCAGUGGGUAGGGGUAAAAUCCGUUGAUCCAUUGAAGACCACCAGUGGCGAAGGCGGCUUGCCAGAAUGCGCUCGACGGUGAGGGAUGGAAGCUGGGGGAGCAAACCGGAUUAGAUACCCGGGUAGUCCCAGCUGUAAACGAUGCAGACUCGGUGAUGGACUAGCUUUAUGCUAGUCCAGUGCCGCAGGGAAGCCGUUAAGUCUGCCGCCUGGGUAGUACGGUCGCAAGACUG